rnacentral:rRNA from 1 species
UCAGGAUGAACGCUAGCGGCAGGCUUAACACAUGCAAGCCGGGGGGUAACGCGGGGCUUCGGCCCUGGCGACGACCGGCGGACGGGUGAGUAACACGUAUGGGACCUGGCCUUGGCUAAGGGAUAGCCCGUGGAAACGCGGAGUAAUACCUUAUGGCACUAUAAGACUUCAUGGUUUUAUAGUUAAAGGUUUACCGGCCAAGGAUGGCCAUGCGGGGUAUUAGGUAGUUGGUAGGGUAACGGCCUACCAAGCCGACGAUGCCUAUGGGUUCUAAAAGGAAGGCCCCACACACUGGUACUGAGACACGGACCAGACUCCUACGGGAGGCAGCAGUGAGGAAUAUUGGUCAAUGGGUGAGAGCCUGAACCAGCCAUGCCGCGUGCAGGAAGUGCCCUUAGGGUGUUAUACUGCUUUAGCAGGGGAAGAAAAAGGCGUACGCGUACGCCCUUGCCGGUACCCUGUCAACAAGCACCGGCUAACUCCGUGCCAGCAGCCGCGGUAAUACGGAGGGUGCCAGCGUUAUCCGGAUUUAUUAGGUUUAAAGGGUGUGCAGGCGGACUAACAAGUCGGCUGUGAAAUUUACGGGCUCAACCCGUGACUUGCGGUCGAAACUGUUGGUCUUGAGUGAAGAUGCUGCAGGCGGAAUGUGUGGUGUAGCGGUGAAAUGCAUAGAUACCACCCAGAACCCCGAUUGCGAAGGCAGCUUGCAAAACUUCCACUGACGCUGAUGCACGAAAGCGUGGGUAGCGAACAGGAUUAGAUACCCUGGUAGUCCACGCAGUAAACGAUGACCACUGGCUUUUGGUGAUACACAAUCAGAGGCUGAGCGAAAGCAUUAAGUGGUCCACCUGGGGAUUACGUUCGCAAGAAUGAAACUCAAAGGAAUUGACGGGGGCCCGCACAAGCGGAGGAACAUGUGGUUUAAUUCGAUGAUACGCGAGGAACCUUACCUGGGCUUGAACUGUCAGUGACGCUUGGGGAAACCCAAGUUCCCUUCUGGGCGCUGUCAGAGGUGCUGCAUGGCUGUCGUCAGCUCGUGCCGUGAGGUGUCGGGUUAAGUCCCAUAACGAGCGCAACCCCUAUUGCUAGUUACCAGCACGUAAAGGUGGGGACUCUAGUGAGACUGCCACCGUAAGGUGAGAGGAAGGCGGGGAUGACGUCAAGUCAGCACGGCCCUUAUGUCCAGGGCUACACACGUGUUACAAUGGCCGGUACAACGGGCAGCCAAGGGGCGACCCUGCGCCAAUCCCCAAAGCCGGCCUUAGUUCGGAUCGCAGUCUGCAACCCGACUGCGUGAAGGUGGAUUCGCUAGUAAUCGCGCAUCAGCCAUGGCGCGGUGAAUACGUUCCCGGGCCUUGUACACACCGCCCGUCAAGCCAUGGAAGUUGGGGUUACAUGAGGUCCGUAACCGCAAGGAGCGGCCUAGGGUAAGUCCAGUGACUGGGGCUA